rnacentral:rRNA from 1 species
CUCUAAAGGGUUGUUGGAGACUACGACGUAGAUAGGUCAGGUGUGUAAGCGCUGCGAGGCGUUGAGCUAACUGAUACUAAUUGCCCGUGAGGCUUAACCAUACAACACCCAAGGGGUUUUAG